UGCACAUACAAACUACUUGAAGUACUACACAUAGGCUAUGGAAGAUCGGUCAAAUCUACAAAGUAGGAACGUUUAAGUGGAUGACGUGAAAAUGAAAGCAAGACAUUCUAAAAGGCCAGCAAAGGUUAAGGUUGCUUUUGAUACAGUACAAAGACGCAAAACUGGUGCUCUGAAUAGCGAUUCUGUUGUCUUUGAAAGUUUCUCUUAUUAACGCAUUUAACUGCAAUUUGGAUUAACACCUCCUUUUACGGCGAAAGGCGGAAAUAUUUCACCACAAAACAGACGUGCGCUUUCAUGGGCAGUUUUCGUACAUACAGAGGAAUUCCUAAUUAGGCGCGUGUUACGCUUCUGCUCCCAUCUUUUACACAAAACUCCAACUUUCCCCUGACCCUCCUAUGAAUGCAUGACACGGAAAGCGCUAAUUGGCAUUGUCAACUCCUGUGACAGGCAGUACGCGGUUUUACCCAAGUGCGACCUGUUAGUACAGUACAUACCACGCCAUGUUUUUACCUGCAAAAACAUGUUUUUCAUGUGGGAGCAAAUGCGUUAGUACAUCUGGCAUGAGACACACACAAGACUAGAGAUACCUUCUGAUAAAAGGACGUUCGUUAUAACGGAGAGUAAGUCAGCAGCAAGAUUCAUACAAAAUGUACAUGAGCAACUACUGAGGAGGUGCUUAUACAAUGUAACACAACAGAAUAGCUUUUGAUGGAAUUAGGCCCUUAUUGUGUGUCACCAGUAGAUCAUUUCUUUAUAACUGCUUCUAACGUGUGGGAAAGGUGAAAACAGCUAUACUUAUGAGUUAUGUUAUUUAACUGAUCAAUAAAUGGCUUUCUGGCAAAACGUAUCAACUACAUCAAGUAUUUCAUACAGCAUACAACAACAAAAAUCUUCACAUACAUGACACAUGCUUUGAAGCUUAUUAUCACAACAGUCACAUACGUACAGUAUCAUAUUGAUAUGAGAUAAAAUAAAACAUUUCUCUUUGCAUCUUUCUCCAGAAAAUGUACCACUUCUGGAAGCCGUUACAUCUGUUUCAUUAUCGCAAUUAAGAAUGUGAGAAAGUGUGCCAAAUUUAUCCUGAUGUGUUUUCAAUCUGAUCUUUGAAAUGAUACAAUUUAACACAAAGAGGGAUUUUAACAGAUACUCCUAUUGUGAGAUUCUACAGCCUAUUUCAUUUCAUCCUUCCAAACCACUUAAACUGCACUUAACUGCACUUAAAAAGAAAUGCAAAAUAUUGCUGUAGUUGCCAUCUUGAGGUAGGAAACACAUGUACAACACUGACCAGGCAUAGGUAGGCCUAUGUCUUACACUACAAUAUCAUGACAAAGAAUGUGCAUUGUGUCAAGUCACCUUGAGUAGCCUAUGUCUUGCCCGGAAAAGUUGCACUGAAAUGCAUCACAAAUACUAUUGUCCACAGCCAACUAGCACAUGCACUCUGCACCUGCACCAUAUGCAGGUAUAUAAUGGCACAGAUAUAAGAUAUAAGAUAUCUGUGAUAUAACAGAUAAAGUAAACAAAGCAGUGCUUCCUUGCCAUUUUCACAAUACUUUUUCUCACCACCAACAGUUUUGUAAUACAUCUACUUCCAAUCAAAAAUGUGUUUGGUAAUAAGUUGCAAAUGGCAUUGUCAGUCCUGGAUCUUAAGAUUGUGGAAGACACAAAGAAAGAAAGAAGUGGAGGAAGAGACAAAAAAAAAACAAGAAAUCCUUUUGUUAGAUCCAGUUAUCCAGAAGCAAAACGCUAACUACCAGGAUGUAAACAGCCAAUCAGAAUAACUCAUUGACCAACGGCUCCGACACAUAAACACGGCACCAGAGGUCGAGACGGUGCAGAACACACACCGACAAGACAACCGAACACCAGCCUGGUGUGUUCUGGCCCUCACACAGCAAUCAAUAGUGUGGUUUCCUAGUCAUAACCAGUUAUGUUCAUAGCAUUUAAUUUGUAAUUUGACCAAUAAAAUAUCCUGAAAUAACCUGGAGCCAGGAAAAGAAACCCAGUAUUUAGUAGACACUCUGUACAAAGGAUGUGAUGUUUACAAAUACAAGAUAAAACCCUGACACAUCAAACUGUCUUCAAAAUAUCAGAUGUUGGAAUGAUAAUCUUUAUAGUCCUUUGGGCUCCCUUAGCUGGAGCAAAUCACAUGUUCAAAGAAAAUUCAAAUGUUUCUCCGGGUCCUUCCCAUCCUAUGAUGUCACUUUUUCUGCAACAUGUACAAUUUCACUGUUGUAUUUUAUCAAUGAGAUCUGAUUUAAAAAAAAGCAUGUGCAGUCACAACCUGAUUUAAUAACCUGAAAGUGUGUCAACGCUUUGGAAAAUAUCACACACGGUAAAGCACAGUUUUCUCUGCUGUACCAGCUGAUCAACAUAUUCUACUGGAUGUCUUUAGUAAAAACACCUGCCCACUGUUAGACUCGCAUCAGUCAUCAUGUUUUCAGAAAGUACCAAUGGCAUAGUCUUGGCUUUGUACUGGCACAGUCUUUUUGUCCUGCUUUAGUGCUCACCCAGCUCACAUGGGUUGUAUGUGGAGAGUUCAGUGGGGUCUGAUCGAUGCACUGCACCCCACACUGUACAGUAAUGCUAAAGCUAAUGCUUAUGGCCCAGGAGACUGUAGGCCUUAGGUGUGUCCUGGGGCCAGGCACUGACGCUCAGCUGAAUUAGCAGAAGAGCGCACACAUUCUGAGCUGGACACAGCACAUGCAUAUUUCAUGACUGUUUCCUAAUUACUCCGUCUGGAUUAAACCAGAUAGCAGAUAGAACAACAGAACAUGGAGUGAACCCAUGUCAUAUCAGAGACAUACUAAAGGCUGGCAGCUAAAUGCUACUUACAAACAGAGACAUACUAAAGGCUGGCAGCUAAAUGCUACUUAGAUAAACAAAAUAAGGAGCUUAACAUCAACAAAGAUGUGGAAUUACAAAUAAUUUCAGUAGCAUAUAUCAAACACCAGAUAUUAUUUAAAGAGACAGAGAUUAAGAUUUUCUGUCAGGCCAAACAACCCCAGUUUCUAACAUAUAGUUUUGAUUUGAGAACUGUUUCCCAUGUAUGGUAACUAAAUUAUACAUCCAUUAAUCUCCACAGACACCUGACUAAAGUCUGUCAAAAUUGUGUUUUGUGAACAUCUUUACACAUUUCCUGCCAUAUAUUAGCCUCCCCAACUACAACAUCACAGCUUCGAUCAUUCGAUUCCCUCCACUCACAAAUGAACCUUUGACUCUUGUCCAACGGCUCCCUCUGGUGAUUAGGUACAUGCUGCCACCCUGUGACCAUCAAGCAAACUACCCUGCAGAAGACCACACCCAUUGAUGCAGUACUAUUGUUGUGAAGGGAGUGGGGAGUGAAUUAGACCGUUUUGCCUCAAUCCAUUUCACCAGUCGCACAAAAGUCUGUUGGUAGUCUUAUUAUUAUUGCGUGGCAAUUAGAACAUGUCUCAGAAGCCAGUGGCACUAAUAGAGACAAAUCUGGGCACGCAUAAUGGUUAAGACUGAAUAUAAAGGGAAAUAAUCCCAAAUAAAUGCAUAAGGAUAAAAUCUAGCCUAGGACAACAGAUGGAAAACAGGAGUAUUCAUGUUAUAUGACUAUAAAGAUGAAUCUGAUAUGACUUGUUUCAAUCAUUUAUUGUACAUCAUCUAUACCAACCAUCUGGAAACAAGAGAUUUGACUUGAGACCUUCCGAAAACUGCAUUUGACUUAAAAUGUCUAUUUUCAGAUAUCAAUGUAAGAUUUGAGAGGAAACAGCAUAUACUUAUUAAAUAAAUCUUUCAUGAGAUGAUGAGAU